GUACUUCACAAGAAAAAAAGGAAGAGUCUAGUGCGCGAGACACGCUUUCGGUACAUAGGUGUUCACACCAUCUCACGACAGCGACCCAAAGAAACACGUUAAGAGCCGAACCCUUGUGCUCUCCAAACGCGUACCAGUUCAUCGUCAGCAUCCACCAGCCAUAAAUAAUCUGGUGCGUUCUUCCAGUCAAGCUUUUUUCCCCUUCGGCGAUUCCGCGGCCGCUCGCGGCUUCUCCGAUCUCCGCCCCCUUUAAAUCCACCCCUCCGGUCGCCAUGGUUCCUGACUUGUCUCCUAUCCGUCGCAGGUAGCACAGCAGCACCAGCACAGGCGAUGGCGGAGUUCUCGUGGCUCACGGCGCUAGGGUUCGCCUUCCUGACCUUCAACUCCGGCAUGGCCGUGUACCGCUCCAACGGCGACGCGGGGUCCGUCGUCUUCGUCGCCGUCUCCUACCUCGACCUCGUCGCCCUCUUCGCCUGCCUGCGCCUCUACGAGCGCCUCGACCGCCACUCCCCGCGCCGGGAGCGGCUCAAGGCCGCCGUCUGGGCGCUCACCACGCUGCUCACCGUCAUGUUCACCUACAAGGUCGCCGAGGUCAUGCCG
rnacentral:lncRNA from 1 species